UACGUAGGGGGCAAGCGUUGUCCGGAAUCAUUGGGCGUAAAGCGCGUGUAGGCGGCUCGGUAAGUCUGCUCUGAAAGCCCGGGGCUCAACCCUGGGAGGCGGGUGGAUACUGCUGAGCUCGAGUCCGGAAGAGGCGAGUGGAAUUCCUGGUGUAGCGGUGAAAUGCGUAGAUAUCAGGAGGAACACCGGUGGCGAAGGCGCUCAUCUGGCCCAAUACUGACGCUGAGGCGCGAAAGCUAGGGGAGCAAACGGG
rnacentral:rRNA from 1 species